rnacentral:tRNA from 1 species
UGCGGGGUGGAGCAGUUCGGUAGC